AAAAAAAAAAAAAAAAAGAAAGAUCACUUUAGAUUUGACUUUGGCUGUUGAUGCAGAAACUCUCACAUCGGAAAGGGUUUAUCCUUUUUGUCUUACAAUAUUUUUUAAUUAUAUAUAUCAAAUGGUAACUCUAUUUUUUUUUUAUUAAUUAUCUAUUUUUAUUUUCCUUUUGUUUUUUAAUAUUCAGCUUCAGGGAAUAGCUCUUGAAAAUGAUGUGUCUUUUGUGUGAAUAAACUAAUUUUCUGUUAUUUUGUUAAUGCAGCAAUGCAUCACUGCCUGCCUGCUCAAGUUGCAUUUUGGUAAUUGCGAACCAUAAGUGAUUUGAGAAAAGCAUUUGGAGCUUCACAAGUGGCGGUUACUGGACAAUUGUUUCCUGACUGGAGCAAAUAUACUGUAGGGAACUCCUAUUUCAUAUUGCAUAG
rnacentral:misc_RNA from 1 species